rnacentral:hammerhead_ribozyme from 1 species
AUUCAGCUGACGGGUCCCAAAUAGGACGAAGUGACGCUUGUCCUGAAU